AGUGAACGCUGGCGGUAGGCCUAACACAUGCAAGUCGAACGGCAGCACAGUAAGAGCUUGCUCUUACGGGUGGCGAGUGGCGGACGGGUGAGGAAUACAUCGGAAUCUACUUUUUCGUGGGGGAUAACGUAGGGAAACUUACGCUAAUACCGCAUACGACCUACGGGUGAAAGCAGGGGAUCUUCGGACCUUGCGCGAUUGAAUGAGCCGAUGUCGGAUUAGCUAGUUGGCGGGGUAAAGGCCCACCAAGGCGAUGAUCCGUAGCUGGUCUGAGAGGAUGAUCAGCCACACUGGAACUGAGACACGGUCCAGACUCCUACGGGAGGCAGCAGUGGGGAAUAUUGGACAAUGGGCGCAAGCCUGAUCCAGCCAUACCGCGUGGGUGAAGAAGGCCUUCGGGUUGUAAAGCCCUUUUGUUUGGAAAGAAAAGCAGCAGGUUAAUACCCCGCUGUUCUGACGGUACCCAAAGAAUAAGCACCGGCUAACUUCGUG
rnacentral:rRNA from 1 species